rnacentral:rRNA from 1 species
CCUACGGGCGGCAGCAGUGGGGAAUAUUGGGCAAUGGGCGCAAGCCUGACCCAGCAACGCCGCGUGAAGGAAGAAGGCUUUCGGGUUGUAAACUUCUUUUCUGAGGGACGAAGAAAGUGACGGUACCUCAGGAAUAAGCCACGGCUAACUACGUGCCAGAAGCCGCGGUAAUACGUAGGUGGCAAGCGUUAUCCGGAUUUAUUGGGUGUAAAGGGCGUGUAGGCGGGAAAGCAAGUCAGAUGUGAAAACUCAGGGCUCAACCCUGAGCCUGCAUUUGACACUGUUUUACUUGAGUGCUGGUGAGGCAAUCGGAAUUACGUGUGUAGCGGUGAAAUGCGUAGAUAUACGGAGGAACACCAGUGGCGAAGGCGGAUUGCUGGACAGUAACUGACGCUGAGGCGCGAAAGCGUGGGGAGCGAACAGGAUUAGAUACCCGGGUAGUC